AGUGGCGGACGGGUGAGUAACGCGUAGGAAUCUACCGAGUAGUGGGGGACAACAGUUGGAAACGACUGCUAAUACCGCAUAAUCCCUGAGGGGGAAAGGAGGGGAUCUGUUUACAGAUCGCUAUUUGAUGAGCCUGCGUGAGAUUAGCUAGUUGGUGAGGUAAUGGCUCACCAAGGCGACGAUCUCUAGCUGGUCUGAGAGGAUGAUCAGCCACACUGGAACUGAGACACGGUCCAGACUCCUACGGGAGGCAGCAGUGGGGAAUAUUGCACAAUGGGGGAAACCCUGAUGCAGCCAUGCCGCGUGUGUGAAGAAGGCCUUCGGGUUGUAAAGCACUUUCAGCGAGGAGGAAAGGAGUAUGUUUAAUAACGUGCUCUGUGACGUUACUCGCAAAAAAAGCCCCGUCUAACUUCGUGCCAGCAGCCGGGAUAAAACGAAGGGGGCAAGCGUUAUUCGGAAUUACUGGGCGUAAACGCCGCGCAGUAUGUGUUUUUGUAGCGAAUUGUAACCCCUUGGCUCAACCUAGGA
rnacentral:rRNA from 1 species